UGUUUCCCCUGGAAACAUCUGGAAACAUCUGGUUAAACCAUCUGACCGGCUGUGUGUAAGGCUCCGUUUACAUGAUGACGGUCUGAACAGAAGACGCAAAAGUGGCGUCUCGUCUUCACUUUUUAUUCCUGGUUUAGACGAGCGUUUUCAGGAGGAAAUCUGCUGAUACGGUGAUCUAAAGUGUGUGAAUGUGAUUGUAUGCAGCCAGGCGGCAUCACUUAAAGCCAUAAGAGCAUCUUUGGGCAUGCAGAAGUUUUCACGCCACACAUUUUCAUCAGCUACUCCUUCCACAAAGUUCUCCUCCAUCACUAGAUCUCCCAGGUCUCGUUCACAGCCGUCUGGCUCCUCCCACCAAUCGCUGCAUCCAGAAUGUGACGGAGGUAAUUCCAGAUCCUUCUCUGUUCACUAAUACUAUCUGUACAUAUCCUGGACAUUUGGUGGAAAGACUCCUGUAAGUUUAUUAGAGCUGCCAGAGCAGCUUGAAGGUCCCACCAUGGAAAUAAUCCCACGUUUCUUUAUUUCC